rnacentral:rRNA from 1 species
ACGAACGCUGGCGGCGUGCUUAACACAUGCAAGUCGAACGGAAAGGCCCUGCUUGCAGGGUACUCGAGUGGCGAACGGGUGGGUAACACGUGGGUGAUCUGCCCUGCACUUCGGGAUAAGCCUGGGAAACUGGGUCUAAUACCGGAUAGGAGCCAUUUUUAGUGUGAUGGUUGGAAAGUUUUUUCGGUGUAGGAUGAGCUCGCGGCCUAUCAGCUUGUUGGUGGGGUAAUGGCCUACCAAGGCGGCGACGGGUAGCCGGCCUGAGAGGGUGGACGGCCACAUUGGGACUGAGAUACGGCCCAGACUCCUACGGGAGGCAGCAGUGGGGAAUAUUGCACAAUGGGCGCAAGCCUGAUGCAGCGACGCCGCGUGGGGGAUGACGGCCUUCGGGUUGUAAACUCCUUUCGCUAGGGACGAAGCUUUUUGUGACGGUACCUAGAUAAGAAGCACCGGCUAACUACGUG